AAUAUUUCACAAUGGGCGAGAGCCUGAUGCAGUAACGCCGCGUGAGCGAUGAAGGCCUUCGGGUUGUAAAGCUCUGUCUUCGCUGACGAUAAUGACGGUAAGCGAGGAGGAAGCCACGGCUAACUACGUGCCAGCAGCCGCGGUAAUACGUAGGUGGCAAGCGUUGUCCGGAAUUACUGGGCGUAAAGAAUGCGUAUGCGGCUUUUUAAGUGGGAUGUGAAAUCCCUGGGCUCAACCCAGGAACUGCAUUCCACACUGGAGAGCUAGAGUGUGGGAGAGGAAAAUGGUAUUCCCAGUGUAGCGGUGAAAUGCGUAGAGAUUGGGAGGAACACCAGUAGCGAAGGCGAUUUUCUGGAACAUAACUGACGCUGAGGCAUGAAAGCGUGGGGAGCAAACAGG
rnacentral:rRNA from 1 species